CAAAACCAGGUCCUUAAGGCCCAGAUUUUCAGAGCACUUAAUGCUAAUAACUGAAGCCUAAUGUGGUUGAAGCUGCUGGGGCACUGUGUCCCUGAAAACCUGAAACAGCGCUGUCCUCUUGAUGAGGAUGAUGCUUGGUUCAUCACGCCUACCCGGAGAAGAGAGACAUGCUGAGCAGAGCUCAGAAGACCUGUGCUUCUAUGAAAUGAUGGAGGAAGAUGGUGCCCGUAGAUCACCUCAGAUACUGCUCUGCAUGAUCUGAGUGCCUCUUAGAGGUCUGGCCAGGAACCAUCUUCUUCACUGCUUCAGCCUCUCUGUGCCAGGAGAGGGAACUCUCAGUGCCAAAUCUCCAGUAGAAGGCUGAGGUACUGCAGGACUGUUACGUAGACCAAGCACACAAGGAAUGCACCUUCCUCUAGCAAUGAGAAAUAUUAAAUAAAAAAAAAAAAGUAAAAAAAAAAAUAAAGUUAUAAAAGAGAAGGAUUGAUACCACAUAGACUAAGUGACUUCGGGGAGAAAAGAGGAAGCUUAUGGACCUGUCCUUUGGGUACCCCUGUCUGAAGUGCCUUUCCUUGUUCCCAAGGUUUCUCUUCUACUCCUGCCCAACAAGCUGCAUCAUGUCCAGGAGAGUGAGCAUUUUACUACAUGAGGGAAAAAGUGUAUAAGCUUUACAGCUGUUUUGCUGAACUCCUUAUAUUGUUUUCAUUAAGAAUUUGUCUGUAUGGGGGAGUUAUUGCAGAAUCAGUUUUUGAAUUUAAAGUGUUACACCCAGUCUGUACUCAUGCCCAGUGCUGACUGAACUAAAGAGAGAGACAUUUUCAGUAUGGAUUAGGAAUGUCCACAUGAAGAGUUAGUAUGCAAUAACUAUUCUAAGCUAUUUCCCCAGGUAGACAAGCCUAAACAUCUGAUAAAUAGGCCUAUUGCUUUUUCUCUUAACCAAUUAAGUACUUAUUUUAGAAGGAUAAAAUGAAUUAUCACAUAACUAUUUCACUGCAAUAUGUCUUACUUAGUGCAUUAAUGUCAGAAAAGGCAAACUACUGUCCACAGACUGGAAGGAAAGGUAUUAGUGUUUUUGCAUGUACAAGCUUAGAGAUGACUUUUGGCCUUAUUAUAUUUUGGGUGAAGAUUAUGAUGUAUUGUUGUUUUUGCAACGUUUCACAUUUAUUUCACAAAAUAAAUCACAUAAUGGACUGUCAUAAUAGCUCCAGUAGCAUGACAGCAAAAAAGAAUUGGUAGAGCUACACUUCAGUGCACAGUGAAAUAGCUAACAAUUUGUUAAAUAUCCCAUGAGUGGAUUAAAUAGGCAUAUGAUCAGUUAUGUGGCUGCCAAGCCACAGCAGGAACCAAUUAGAAUUCACCGAAAAUAAUUUAGAUGAAAACUGAUGAAUCUAUCAAAACCUAAUUAAAUUUAUGGAAAAAAGCAAACAUCUCAUUGACAGAUUAUAUAACCACUGAAUUUCUCUGUAAACAGUCUGCAAAGGAUGGCUACUGAAAGAAGAGCUGUAUUAUUGGAUCUGGUUUGCAGAGUGCUGGGUCUUCUAACAUUUUAAUAUUCUUCUGGUAUCAGUUUCACAUAAAUUACUCCCAUGGAACCAAGUUAGUCGAUUUUACAUGAAGCAGCAUGAAGUCAUCCAACAAAUUGUAACUAUUGUUAAUAGUUAUGUUAAAUAUUGUUAAUAUUGUCACAGCCAGUCUUAUGUGAAACACGGAAGAGCCUGUGGAGGGAAGACUUAAAUGGAGAAGAAAGAUGCAGACAGGGACCUCUUUUAAGGAUCUGAUUUUUUUUUUUUUUUUCCAUGAACUAUAAAAUCUUGGAAAUACAAUAGUCACAGCUAGAGUUCUUUAUUUUUGUUUCUAUUUUUCUAUAUCAUUUUGGGGCAGGGGAUUAUUUUUAUUGAAAUGUUGUAUAUUAUUAAGCCAGCAAAAGGUGAAGCAAACCUAUACGAGAAUGAACACUGAUAUGAGAUAUCGGUAACAAAAUGCAUGAGGCAGAAAGGCAAAAUACCUUUCAGUCAGGAUUUUUGGCUGCAGUAAAUAGACAUGCUGCCUUCACAACAAAAAGACAUAGGCUUGCAUAGUUAUUCUCAUUGAAUCACUGCAAGGAAUUUGCCAGAAAAAACACUGCUGCUCAUCUUACUCUAGCAAUGUCAGGAUAGAUAUUUCUGCAGUUUGCCUUACACUCCAGUUGUUUCUCAGAUUCCUGGACUGUUCGUUCUCCCAUGAAAUGCUUGCACAUUGUGAACUAUAAACUGAGUUUUCUCUUAACAGAAAUUCAGUUUUCCCUAUUCAGAAGUUAAGCUUUCAGCUGCCAAGAGAAGAAAUGUUGUAUGUGCUUCUCUUCUAUGCCUUUGCUUCUCUUUGGUGGUGACCUGAGAAAGUGCUAGGAAAAAGUCUGAUUCUUCUCUCUUGAAACAGAGAAUAACUUUUUUUUUUUUUUGGUUUUGGUCCUCUUUUCCCCCAAACUCAAGACAAGUGGAAAAUCAAAUCCUUCCAACACAGGUAAUAAAAUUCUCCCAAACUUAAGAGUGAGAUUAUUUACAGACUAGAUACCCUUAACAGAAAGAAAAAAAAAAUCAAAAUACAAAAGAGAGCGUAUGUUCUGUCAUCACCAGAUGAAUGCUAGUGUUAUCCAGUUUCCUGCAGUGCAUAAAGAUGCCUUAAUUACCUUGUGUAAGAUACCAUUACUGUCUACGAAGAUAUUUUCAAAGGAGCCUCUCUUAAUUCAUAGAUUCAUUAUAAGAAUGUGUUUACUUUCUUU